rnacentral:rRNA from 1 species
CCAGACUCCUACGGGAGGCAGCAGUCGGGAAUAUUGCGCAAUGGAGGAAACUCUGACGCAGUGACGCCGCGUGCAGGAAGAAGGUUUUCGGAUUGUAAACUGCUUUAGACAGGGAAGAAACAAGACAGUACCUGUAGAAUAAGCUCCGGCUAACUACGUGCCAGCAGCAGCGGUAAUACGGAAGGUCCGGGCGUUAUCCGGAUUUAUUGGGUUUAAAGGGAGCGUAGGCCGCAUGUUAAGCGUGCCGUGAAAUGCCGUGGCUCAACCAUGGCACUGCGGCGCGAACUGGCUUGCUUGAGUGCGCGGAACGUAUGCGGAAUUCGUGGUGUAGCGGUGAAAUGCUUAGAUAUCACGAAGAACUCCGAUUGCGAAGGCAGCAUACGGCAGCGCUACUGACGCUGAAGCUCGAAGGCGCGGGUAUCGAACAGGAUUAGAUACCCGGGUAA